rnacentral:rRNA from 1 species
UGACAGUCGAGCGGACAGAUGGGAGCUUGCUCCCUGAUGUUAGCGGCGGACGGGUGAGUAACACGUGGGUAACCUGCCUGUAAGACUGGGAUAACUCCGGGAAACCGGGGCUAAUACCGGAUGCUUGUUUGAACCGCAUGGUUCAAACAUAAAAGGUGGCUUCGGCUACCACUUACAGAUGGACCCGCGGCGCAUUAGCUAGUUGGUGAGGUAAUGGCUCACCAAGGCAACGAUGCGUAGCCGACCUGAGAGGGUGAUCGGCCACACUGGGACUGAGACACGGCCCAGACUCCUACGGGAGGCAGCAGUAGGGAAUCUUCCGCAAUGGACGAAAGUCUGACGGAGCAACGCCGCGUGAGUGAUGAAGGUUUUCGGAUCGUAAAGCUCUGUUGUUAGGGAAGAACAAGUACCGUUCGAAUAGGGCGGUACCUUGACGGUACCUAACCAGAAAGCCACGGCUAACUACGUGCCAGCAGCCGCGGUAAUACGUAGGUGGCAAGCGUUGUCCGGAAUUAUUGGGCGUAAAGGGCUCGCAGGCGGUUCCUUAAGUCUGAUGUGAAAGCCCCCGGCUCAACCGGGGAGGGUCAUUGGAAACUGGGGAACUUGAGUGCAGAAGAGGAGAGUGGAAUUCCACGUGUAGCGGUGAAAUGCGUAGAGAUGUGGAGGAACACCAGUGGCGAAGGCGACUCUCUGGUCUGUAACUGACGCUGAGGAGCGAAAGCGUGGGGAGCGAACAGGAUUAGAUACCCUGGUAGUCCACGCCGUAAACGAUGAGUGCUAAGUGUUAGGGGGUUUCCGCCCCUUAGUGCUGCAGCUAACGCAUUAAGCACUCCGCCUGGGGAGUACGGUCGCAAGACU